AUUGAACGCUGGCGGCAUGCUUUACACAUGCAAGUCGAACGGUAACAGGCCUUCGGGUGCUGCCGAGUGGCGAACGGGUGCGUAAUGCAUCGGAACGUACCCAGAGGUGGGGGAUAACGCAGCGAAAGCUGUGCUAAUACCGCAUGUGAUCUGAGGAUGACAGCGGGGGACCGAGCAGCAAUGUUUGGCCUCGCGCCUUUGGAGCGGCCGAUGUCGGAUUAGCUAGUUGGUGGGGUAAAGGCCUACCAAGGCGACGAUCCGUAGCUGGUCUGAGAGGACGACCAGCCACACUGGGACUGAGACACGGCCCAGACUCCUACGGGAGGCAGCAGUGGGGAAUUUUGGACAAUGGGCGCAAGCCUGAUCCAGCAAAGCCGCGUGCGGGAAGAAGGCCUUCGGGUUGUAAAGCGCUUUUGGCAGGAACGAAACGGUGUCCGCUAAUACCGGGCGCUAAUGACGGUACCUGCAGAAUAAGCACCGGCUAACUACGUG
rnacentral:rRNA from 1 species